rnacentral:rRNA from 1 species
GACGAAGGAUGCAAGCGUUAUCCGGAUUCAUUGGGUUUAAAGGGUAGGUAGGUGGUCUCAUUUGUCUGGGGUGAAAGCCUUGAGCUUAACUCAAGAAGUGCCCCAGAAACGGUGAGACUGGAGUCCUGGAGAGGGUCGUGGAAUUCCCGGUGUAGCGGUGAAAUGCGCAGAUAUCAGGAGGAACACCGGUGGCGAAGGCGGGUCUCUGGGCAGUAACUGACGCUGAGGAGCGAAAGCGUGGGGAGCGAACAGG